rnacentral:rRNA from 1 species
GACGAACGCUGGCGGCGUGCUUAACACAUGCAAGUCGAACGGAAAGGCCCUGCUUUUGUGGGGUGCUCGAGUGGCGAACGGGUGAGUAACACGUGAGUAACCUGCCCUUGACUUUGGGAUAACUUCAGGAAACUGGGGCUAAUACCGGAUAGGAGCUCCUGCUGCAUGGUGGGGGUUGGAAAGUUUCGGCGGUUGGGGAUGGACUCGCGGCUUAUCAGCUUGUUGGUGGGGUAGUGGCUUACCAAGGCUUUGACGGGUAGCCGGCCUGAGUGGGUGACCGGCCACAUUGGGACUGAGAUACGGCCCAGACUGCUACGGGAGGCAGCAGUGGGGAAUAUGGCACAAUGGGCGGAAGCCUGAUGCAGCAACGCCGCGUGCGGGAUGACGGCCUUCGGGUUGUAAACCGCUUUCGCCUGUGACGAAGCGUGAGUGACGGUAAUGGGUAAAGAAGCACCGGCUAACUACGUG